AGCCUUUGUGUUGCCCAUUCACUUUGGAAACUAGUGAAUGUGGUGUCAAAAAAGGCGUAAACGAAACACUUUGCAGCCUUUUCCUGCCCUAGAAUUUGGUAUCCUUGGUGUAGGAGCUGCAUAAGUAACAGUU
rnacentral:snoRNA from 1 species